GGCCAGGCUGACUUGGCUGGCUGCGUGAGUGUCCCUUCCUCCUUCACUCUCCCACAUGUGCUCCUCCCACAGCUACACUUUAGUUGGAGUGUAUGAUGUCCCCAAUGGAGAACUGUUUGUUCCUAAGCCAAGGAUGUGCAAGUAUCCUCACUGGCCUUCUAGAACUUUCAAAGAAGAUUUCUUGGUAAACCUCCAAGAACUCAGGAAAAGUAUGGCAAGUAGGCAGGGUCACAGAGGGAGUCGCCAUGGCCCUUAGGAUCGGAGGCUGCUUUUCCU
rnacentral:snRNA from 1 species